rnacentral:lncRNA from 1 species
GAGCAUGCACACGUGAAAUGGAAGAAAAAUCUGAAAAAAAUACAAAUUGGGAAACUAGGGUUUAUGUUCAUCACCAUCCAAAAUCGAAUUUCUCAAUUCCUCCCAAAAUGCCAAUUGAUUACACCAUUGUAAUCAUCAAACAACAUACAACAACAAUCCAAACCCUAUUUUCAUUAAUUCGAACUAUACAACAAGAAAUCAAAGGA